GUGUCAGCCGCCGCGGUAAUACGUAGGGGGCAAGCGUUGUCCGGAAUGACUGGGCGUAAAGGGUACGUAGGCGGUUAUGUAAGUCAGGUGUGAAAGGCUAGGGCUCAACCCUAGUAAGCACUUGAAACUGCGUGACUUGAGUCAAGGAGAGGAAAGUGGAAUUCCUGGUGUAGCGGUGAAAUGCGUAGAUAUCAGGAGGAAUACCAGUGGCGAAGGCGACUUUCUGGCCUUGGACUGACGCUGAGGUACGAAAGCGUGGGGAGCAAACAGGAUUAGAUACCCUGGUAGUCCACGCCGUAAACGAUGAGUGCUAGGUGUCGGGGAGUAAUCUUCGGUGCCGAAGUUAACACAUUAAGCACUCCGCCUGGGGAGUACGCACGCAAGUGUGAAACUCAAAUAAAUUGACGG
rnacentral:rRNA from 1 species